GACGAACGCUGGCGGCGUGCCUAAUACAUGCAAGUUGAGCGAUGAAGCUCUGUGCUUGCACCAAUUUGAAGAGCAGCGAACGUGUGAGUAACGCGUGGGGAAUCUGCCUUUGAGCGGGGGACAACAUUUGGAAACGAAUGCUAAUACCGCAUAACAACUUUAAACAUAAGUUUUAAGUUUGAAAGAUGCAAUUGCAUCACUCAAGGAUGAUCCCGCGUUGUAUGAGCUUGGUGGUGAGGUAAAGGCUCACCAAGGCGAGGAUACAUAGCCGAACUGAGAGGGCGGUCGGCCGGAUUGGGACUGAGACCCGGCCCAAAGUGCUAGGGGAGGCAGCAGUAGGGCAUCUUGAGCAAUGGACGAAAGUCUGACCGAGCAACGCCGAGUGAGUGACGAGGGUCUUCGGAUCGUAAAACUCGGUUGGUAGAGAAGAACGUUGGUGAGAGUGGAAAGAUCAUCAAGUGACGGUAACUACCCAGAAAGGGACGGCUAACUACGUG
rnacentral:rRNA from 1 species